UGUUAAGUCAGAAAACGUGGGAUUUUUUAAAUCAAGGAAAACCAGGAUCUCUGGUGAUAUUACUGUUAAAGUAUCAAAAAUUGUUCCCAUAACCAAAAUCCUUCUCUCCUCUGUUCAUACACAGGAGGAAAAUUGCUUGACGUGGGAAAGGGCUGGAAUGUUGGAACCAGAAGACCCCAUGGCAGUUGGGAGAACUUUGUCAAGUCCUAACCUCCCUCCAGGGGAAACUGGGGACAGCAACAAGAUAAAGCAGGAACAAGACCUUAGCAGAGUAUGACAGUGAAAUGGUGGCAGGGAAGGGAGGGUGAGCUGAAGAAAGGUAAAAGCAGCAAGAACGAAUAAGCUAGAGAGAUAAUAGGCUGAAAGUUCACCCAAAAGGUCUGAAGCACUGCAUCUCCCCACUGAAAACGGCAACAAGACAAACUGAUUUCAAAUAGCAGCAGCUACUUGAAGCCUUAUGACUCAGAGUCCACGCAGAACCUGCAGAAUUCAAGAGGAAGCCUAGAAAACAGCAUUUCUUCUGGUGAAUACAUUAGACCUGUGCUCAUCGCGGACAUGCCACAGUAUUUUGGCUCCAUGUUAAGAUUCUGUUUGACCUGUAAACGCCCAACACCGACUUAGCUUCCAUGAGACUGUCACCACAAGCUAUUCCACAGUUGUAGAUAACAGAAAUAUCCAAUACAUUUCAGCAGGGCCCUGAAAAAGGAGGCUGUUUAGCAGGCUGUUCUUCAGCAGGGCCCCAGCCUUCCAACCAGCAGCAGCUCAUUAGUUAGCUUUCAGGCUUAGCCCUACUUCCCCAAAGCAAAACAGACAUGGCAAAGGGCAGGUAGUAAGUGAUCAACAACCAGGUGCUGAGUGUCGUACACCUUACGUUGAGGUAACAGAUGCAUUACUGUGAAUGGGUAGAGUCUGUCUGUAUUACUAACUGCAUUUUAAAGAGAGGCUCCCAGAAUCAGGGUGGAAGCUCUUCUCGGCUUCCCACAGAAAAAUUGGGACACUUCGUGUGUGUUUACACAGCCUCCAAGGCAAAGGGGAUGCUAGGCGCUGGAGGCGCAUUGGGAACACAGAUGUUAGGACAGCAUAAGCAUCUGGAAAAUACCCCUAAUGUUUCUAGGGCUGUGAGCAUGGAGCAAAGCAGUAGUGUCUCAGUGGAAGGAAAUGACAGGAUAAGGAGCAACAGUCUCCAGUUGCAGCAAGGGAAGUUUAGGUUGGAUAUUAGGAAAAACUUUCUCACUAGGGAAGUGAAGCACUGGAAUGGGUUACUCAGAGAUAAU